GACAGAGGUCUCGAGCGUUAUGCGGAAUCACUGGGCUUAAAGCGUGUGUAGGCGGAUGUCUACGUACUUUGUGAAAUCCCACGGCUUAACCGUGGAAUUGCUUGGUAUACUGGAUGUCUUGAGCCAGCUAGGGGCAACCGGAACAAAUGGUGGAGCGGUGAAAUGCGUAGAUAUCAGUUGGAACGCCAAUGGUGAAAACAGGUUGCUGGGGCUGUGCUGACGCUGAGACACGAAAGCCAGGGGAGCAAACGGG
rnacentral:rRNA from 1 species